GACGAACGCUGGCGGCGUGCCUAACACAUGCAAGUCGAACGGAAAGGCCCUGCGCUUGCGCCGUGCUCGAGUGCCGAACGGGUGAGUAACACGCGUGUAACCCCUCCUUGUCUGUGGGAUAACUUCAGGAAACUGGGGCUAUUAUCGCGUAGGAGCUCUUGCUGCACGGUGGGCAAUGGAAAGAUACGGCGUUUGGGUAUGGACUCGCGGCGUAUCAGCUAGAUGGUAAGGUAGGUGCUUACCAAGGCUUUGACGGGUAGCCGACCUGAGAGGGUGACCGGCCACAUGGGAAGGGAGACACGGUCAAGAGGCCUAAGGGAGGGAGCAGUAGGGAAUCGGCGGCAACGGGCGAAAGUAUGACGGAGCAAGGCGGAGUGAGUGAUGAAGGCCCUGCGAUCGGAAAAAUGGGUUAUGGGGGAUGAACAAAUGUCGAAGGAAACAUGGCGGGAGUGACGGUACUGAAUAAGAAAGCAACGGCUAACUACGUG
rnacentral:rRNA from 1 species